rnacentral:misc_RNA from 1 species
AAAAAAAAAAAAAAAAAGAAGACGGAGCAUAGAAAAUUCAAUUCAUAUUUAAAUGAGUUCAGAAUAAUUCAAGUAAAAGUUAUUCUAUAUAUAUUUGAUUAAAAAAAAGGGGGAUGAUGGAGCAUAGAAAGUUCAAUUCACAUAUUCAAAUGAGUUAAGAAUAAUUCAAGAUAGGCAGCCACCUUUUUUUUUUGGGGGGGGG